rnacentral:lncRNA from 1 species
AUGAGCAUGGAGGGCCUCUGGGAAAGGAAAGGUGGCGGAGCAGCUGGGAUGGCCACAGGAGGCUGGAUCCUGUCGCAGAGGGAAGAUUACCCAAAAGUACUGUUCCCUUCACUGAUGCAUACAACACAGGGAUGGCAAUCUGCUUAUGAUGAAAAGGGCGUUACAGAAACACCACAGGAAAUAAAUUCAAGAUGGCUGUUUCCAUACCUCCUGAGACAGGCGACUGGCGCAAUCAGCCUUGUUGAAAUUCCUCCUCCCGUGUCUGUGAGCCCCUAGCGUUCAUCGAAUGGAAGGGAGAAAAAAGCCUGUCCUGAAAAUGCAAAUGCGUAUGUGCUCCUCACUGGCCUAGUGGAUACAGAGACAUAUAAAAAGAAUGUAAAUCACCAAGUAGUACUUUGACAGCUGACACCUGUGUCUUUCCCAAGGGCCCUAAUGGUCACUCUUCAGCAGCUCUUUGCUGAUUCAUGAAGACUGCUAAGAGAAAGCGUGUGUGACUUAUCUUUUAUAGAGUGUAAUAAAAAGAGGGAAGCGCCCCGUGUGGCUGAACUG